AGAGUUUGAUCCUGGCUCAGGACGAACGCUGGCGGCACGCUUAACACAUGCAAGUCGAACGAGAGAAGAGAAGCUUGCUUUUCUGAUCUAGUGGCGGACGGGUGAGUAACACGUGAGCAAUCUGCCUUUCAGAGGGGGAUACCGAUUGGAAACGAUCGUUAAUACCGCAUAAUAUAAUUGAACCGCAUGAUUUGAUUAUCAAAGAUUUAUCGCUGAAAGAUGAGCUCGCGUCUGAUUAGCUAGUUGGUAAGGUAACGGCUUACCAAGGCGACGAUCAGUAGCCGACCUGAGAGGGUGACCGGCCACAUUGGGACUGAGACACGGCCCAGACUCCUACGGGAGGCAGCAGUGGGGAAUAUUGCACAAUGGAGGAAACUCUGAUGCAGCGAUGCCGCGUGAGGGAAGAAGGUUUUAGGAUUGUAAACCUCUGUCUUCAGGGACGAAAAAAGACGGUACCUGAGGAGGAAGCUCCGGCUAACUACGUGCCAGCAGCCGCGGUAAUACGUAGGGAGCGAGCGUUGUCCGGAAUUACUGGGUGUAAAGGGAGCGUAGGCGGGAUCGCAAGUCAGAUGUGAAAACUAUGGGCUUAACCCAUAAACUGCAUUUGAAACUGUGGUUCUUGAGUGAAGUAGAGGUAAGCGGAAUUCCUAGUGUAGCGGUGAAAUGCGUAGAUAUUAGGAGGAACAUCAGUGGCGAAGGCGGCUUACUGGGCUUUAACUGACGCUGAGGCUCGAAAGCGUGGGGAGCAAACAGGAUUAGAUACCCUGGUAGUCCACGCCGUAAACGAUGAUUACUAGGUGUGGGGGGACUGACCCCUUCCGUGCCGCAGCAAACGCAAUAAGUAAUCCACCUGGGGAGUACGACCGCAAGGUUGAAACUCAAAGGAAU
rnacentral:rRNA from 1 species